CUGCCGGCCAAGCCCGCUACAGUCCGGCGUCCAGGGCAGCUGUUCUCUUUAUACCCAGGACGAGAGCAGAAGAAUGGUGUCCUGCAAAACAGAAGGGCACAGGGUCCUUAAGAGCCCCUGGCAAUGGGAAAUACAAGUGCUGCCAUACCCUGAACUCAACUGUCAACCUUUUAAACUUCCGGCUGAAUGGGCGAAGAGGAGGCGGGUCAGGUGCCGGGAGGGCCAGUUGGCACGUUUACCUCCAGACACCAUUUCCAAGGAGGCAUUAGCAGCUUCCUAUCUGAACAAACAGGAAGCCUAUUAAAAACGCCAUUGUCCUUUCCCGCCUGUGCUGACAAGACUGUUAAAUGCCAAGUCUACAGAGCUUUGCCAAGUUGAGAGACCCAGGGGACGUGCAGCUGCUGGGGCCACCUGUGUCUGUCUGAGUCCAGCUGAGAGAUUUCCUCUUUGGGCACCCCAUUGUGGAGUGACGGGUCCCACGGAGUGAGGGGCAGGCAGAGGACUGAAGGAGGGAGGGGUGGAAGAGAGCGGUUCGCCCGUUGCCGACGGCUGAGAGCACGCAGCCAGUUCCCCUUCUCGCUCUGCUCUGCUCAGUCAGGAAUUCGGCUCUGCCCGCCACCCGGGUCUCGGAAACGUUCUGGCUGGGAAUCAAGUCCAAGAUGAAACACCUGCCUUCCACUGCCGUCCCACACGCACAAUGCACCACAUGCCAGUUGGCAGUGGAGCGAAAGAGGCCCAUUAAAGAAAAGUUCCUGACAUUAUUAAGAAGUGCAGUCCUGCCAUUGUGCGUGCAUGCUCUCUCUCUCUCUCACACACGCUCUCUCUCUCACACACACACACGCACUCUACAGGCCUCUAAAGCUUUGUGCAUGUCCCAUGUCCCUGGCUACUUCACUGUCAAUCAAACACUGAAUAAGAGAGAGAGCCCUCUCCUCUGUGGAUAACAGAGGGAGACGGGAGGAUCAGACAGAGAGAAGGAGAUGUGACCACGGAAGAAGAGGAUGGAGCCAUGUUGGGCCACAAGCCAAGGAAUACAGGAAGCUUCUAGAAGCUGGAAAAGGCAAGGAAAUGGAUUAUCCACUAGAGCCUCCAGAAGGAAUGCCGGCCCACCGACACCUUGAUCUUAGCCCAGGAAAACUGAUUUGGGACGUCUGACCUCCAAAACUAAUAGAGUGUCUCCAUGCCACCUGCUCAUCACCACUCUGCACUCUGAUCUUGAUUUAUUAAGUGGAGCUCAAACCAUUGCUCUUUACAGAAGAUCUAUAGCUCAGAGAUGCUGAACUACACAGGAAUUGAAACAAGACCGGGAAGAGCGGAAGGAAACGGCUUAUCUCUUCGACAUCUUUUUCCAAUUCUCCUGUAAUCUCCCGCGUCUUCAGAUCCAGUUUCCUGCUGACAGGGUGAAGGCUGCAAAAACUCUCCGGGCUUUGAGAUAAAGCAUCCCAAGCUGGAUCAGGAGCUACGCAUACUUUCUCCCUCGAGCCUUCUCUUAAAUGUUUGGAACUCUAGAACUCCUUCCUUGAGAAUGAGGAAAAGCAAACAUCACAGGUUGUGACUUUGGAAGCCUGUAAACCGAGCUUUUUGUUGACUCUGGUGGGAGUAAGGCCUUGAACUGCACUGGUCUGGUAAUUUCUUUACUGCAGCGGACAUUCACUGAGCUGCUACUAUGUGGCACCAGCCAGGGCUGCAGGCGAGGCACAGAGAAACCUGAUGGGGUCCUGCCUACAGGAGCUCGCUUGUAAAACAGUCGGAGGCAAAUACCAGCAGUCUUCUAAGACCCCACAAUACACUGCG
rnacentral:lncRNA from 1 species